rnacentral:rRNA from 1 species
GACGAACGCUGGCGGCGUGCCUAAUACAUGCAAGUCGAACGCACAGUUUAUACCGUAGCUUGCUACACCAUAGACUGUGAGUUGCGAACGGGUGAGUAACGCGUAGGUAACCUGCCUGGUAGCGGGGGAUAACUAUUGGAAACGAUAGCUAAUACCGCAUAAUAUUAAUUAUUGCAUGAUAAUUGAUUGAAAGAUGCAACUGCAUCACUACCAGAUGGACCUGCGUUGUAUUAGCUAGUAGGUGAGGUAACGGCUCACCUAGGCGACGAUACAUAGCCGACCUGAGAGGGUGAUCGGCCACACUGGGACUGAGACACGGCCCAGACUCCUACGGGAGGCAGCAGUAGGGAAUCUUCGGCAAUGGACGAAAGUCUGACCGAGCAACGCCGCGUGAGUGAAGAAGGUUGUCGGAUCGUAAAGCUCGGUUGUAAGAGAAGAACGGGUGUGAGAGUGGAAAGUUCACACUGUGACGGUAGCUUACCAGAAAGGGACGGCUAACUACGUG